GAAUGUAUGGAGCAUUUUUCCUUACCCACUUUCAUUUCCACUUAGGAACCCUGCAACAGCACCAGGAAGUUCAGACUUCACAAUUAAAAGCAGAAGAUAGACUCAACCACAAAGAUCCUUACAGCAUGCAUGUUUCUACAUCACCAGAAUCUAUUAUAUUCUCUGUUUGUACUAGAAGAUGAAGAA